GGCGAAACGAAACUUGUGAAUCGUGCAUUUGCUCUUCAUGGUAGCUGCCAAAAAAUCGAAUCAAACUUAUGGGACACUGGAUUACAGGUUGCUGCCACUACUCCAUGUGCCCGCAAUUGUCUUGCGUGUAUGAUUACACUAACGGCGUCGCCCACCACGGCGGAAGUGUUUUGCGUACACGCGUUUCAGCAUGAAGCCUGCAGGUGGACGUAAAUUGUAGAAGGCAGCUAGUGGGGGAGAAGAUCAUGGUCAUAGGUCAUGCGACUCCUGGAGCUCCCAGUGGGCUCCCUUGUGGAGUACUUUUCAGAACACACACACAUACAGUUUGCUCACAGAACCAACGAGUAGGAUGUUGCUUGAAUACUGAGAGAAAAUGGCGUAACACAUACAAAUAUCGUGUGACACAUAUGACAAUAAAAACAUUUUUCACGAGGGAUGCAUGAAACACUGUCGCAAUAUUGUGUGCAUGAACCAUUGUGUGUGACACAAGCCGUGGGGGCACACCGCCUCGGACACAUUUUGGGAAGCAUAAAACACAGUAUAU